UGUGCUAGGAAGUUAGACUCAAACAUAUAGAAAAGAGAAAAGAGAGAACCAAAGAGAGAGAGAGAGCUUCAUUGUUUUUUGCAUGCAACGUAAUUAAUCUGCUGGUGCAAAACCGUGAGAAAGAGAGAGACAACCAUGGGUGAGAAAGAGAGAACCGUGAAUGAGGGAGAGUUCAACUCCUUAAAUCUUUGCUGGAAAUUUGAAGGAAAACCAUGGGAAAAGUGAAGAAAAGGAAGGAGAAACUCAAGUUUGGCUUGGAUUUGUCAAAAUUAUGCAGGAUUAAAUGUCUAUGAAGACUCUAGGUAAGGAUUUGUCUCUCAAAACUUGAAGAUCCUAUGGUAUAGAGUUGGAUUUAUGGGCCAUUACAUGUAUUUUGCUUGAGCAUGUUAAGAAGAAGGUGAUUCCUUACAUACAUACAAGAAUAUGUUGGAUUUUGAAAUUAUAUGUUACAUGCAUUCUAGGAUUGAGUUAUGUUGAAGUUCAAUCUUAUAAUUUGAAAGCUAUGGAAAGGAAUUUAGACUAGAUUGAUACAUACAUCAUGAAUUUUGAAGGAGUUAAAAAUAAAGCUUUGUAGAUAUUAUGAAUUGUUAAGAUUUGGGUUUGCAUGUAAAAAUCAAGUUUAUGGAAAAUAAAUUAGAAGGUAAUUAUUAAGAAAUUGGUGUUGAGAUUAAAUAUUUGAGUUUGAUUUUCUUCAUCCUUCACAUAUUUGAAGUUUUCCAUUACAUGCACGGUAAGUUUUCAAGAUUUUAGAAUUGAAUUCAUAUUUUAAAGUUUAUGAGUUUGAGAUUAAAUUAUGAUAUAAAUUAAAGAGUCAAAUUAUAAAUUGAGCUUGAUGAUGUAAAAUUGGUUGGAUUUGGUAAGUGUUUUAUACAUGCAUUUUGGAUUUUGAGGAACUUAAGGUAAACAAUUUCAUGUUUUGAAGAGAAGAAGGAAGAAAUUUUAUAAGAAAAAUCAAGUUUAUGGAAAAUUAAACAUUGAGUUAAUUUUGAAUGUAGAAAAAAUUAAUUAGUUUUAAUCUUAAUGUCAUACAUGCAAAUAUUUUCCUAAGGGUCAUAUAACUUCAAUUUCAUGUACAUUAAAAGGAAUUAGUAAAAUGGUGUAGAAAUUGAAGUAGAUUCAAAAUUUUAGAAGUUAAUUUGAAAAUAACCCUUUUGGGUUUGAAUUUAUUUGUCUUGUAUGAAAUUGAGUUCAAUCACACAUGCAUCAUACAAUUUUAAGAAUUGGAAAGCCUAAUUUGUAUCUUAGAAUUGUGGGUUGAUAUUAAUAAGAUGAAUUAAAAUUAAAUUUGGGCAAUUAGAACAUGAUUUUGGUUGAAUGUUUUCUAAUUGGAAGUGUUUACUAAAUCAUACAAUGGUUUUCCAUUUUAUUGUACUAAAAAUACAUGUUUUGAGGUUUUCAAUAUCAAAUAUGAGCUUCAAUUACAAUUUUGAAAAUUUCAGAAUUUGUGUUGUCCGCUCGAGCGAGGAAAGUCUUGCUCGAGUGUGAAAAUCGAGCUCUCAGUAGUUUUUCAAAUUUUACAGUUCGCUCGAGCGACCAAAGUGGCGCUCGAGCGAAGGCCCAUUUUCAGCAUAUUUUGAAAAAUUGCAUGUAGUUCACAUUUUUAUUCUCAUCUUUUUCCAAGGCAUUCUAGACAUGAUUUAUGACUCAAUAAAGAUUAAUAAGCUACCAAUCAACAUAGAUUAGUUAGUUGAAGGAUGAAUCAUUGAUCUAGUGGUAGUUGUUUAAGAAGCCAAGUAAAAGAUUAGUCUAUUGGGAAAAGACGGGCUUAGUAAUGAAAGAAUAUGUGAAAGAAGAACCCGGUUUAUUUGAAUGAGAAAGAUUAAGCGUAGUAGAACUUUGGACUAUUUAGACGGAAAAAGACUAGGAAAGUCAAGUUUGAUCAAUGGAGUAAUAUUGUAUCUCAAUGUGUAUAUGUUAUGUGCUUGUGUAGGUCACGCGCCAUUGUCUGCCUGAUUUAUCUGAUAUGUCCAGUUUGUCUGAUUUGCUUCUGCAGCCAUCUGUGAUCAGGUGCGUGACCAGGCUUAGAGGCUUCUGCCUAGAACCAGUUUUGUCAGCCAACCUAUGUGCCUCCCGUGGAGGUUCCGGAUAUGUCAAGUGUUUAUUGCUAUGUGAUCUAAAGUUUAAGUUUUAUUUUCGUGUUUAGUUGAACAAGUCUUGUAUAUUUUGUAAAUAAGGUUAAGUUCCUUUUUGUCUAAUCUGUGUUUAUAUGACGACUUAAAGUUAAUGUGUAUAUGUGUACAUAAAAAGUUUAAAAUUUUUCUGUCUUA